rnacentral:rRNA from 1 species
GAUGGACGCUGGCGGCGUGCCUAAUACAUGCAAGUCGAGCGAACAGACGAGGAGCUUGCUCCUCUGACGUUAGCGGCGGACGGGUGAGUAACACGUGGAUAACCUACCUAUAAGACUGGGAUAACUUCGGGAAACCGGAGCUAAUACCGGAUAACAUGUUGAACCGCAUGGUUCAACAGUGAAAGACGGUCUUGCUGUCACUUAUAGAUGGAUCCGCGCCGCAUUAGCUAGUUGGUAAGGUAACGGCUUACCAAGGCAACGAUGCGUAGCCGACCUGAGAGGGUGAUCGGCCACACUGGAACUGAGACACGGUCCAGACUCCUACGGGAGGCAGCAGUAGGGAAUCUUCCGCAAUGGGCGAAAGCCUGACGGAGCAACGCCGCGUGAGUGAAGAAGGUCUUCGGAUCGUAAAACUCUGUUAUUAGGGAAGAACAAAUGUGUAAGUAACUAUGCACGUCUUGACGGUACCUAAUCAGAAAGCCACGGCUAACUACGUG